UACGUAGGGCGCAAGCGUUAUCCGGAAUUAUUGGGCGUAAAGAGCUCGUAGGCGGCUUGUUGCGUCUGCUGUGAAAGUCCGGGGCUCAACCCCGGAUCUGCGGUGGGUACGGGCAGACUAGAGUGAUGUAGGGGAGACUGGAAUUCCUGGUGUAGCGGUGAAAUGCGCAGAUAUCAGGAGGAACACCGAUGGCGAAGGCAGGUCUCUGGGCAUUAACUGACGCUGAGGAGCGAAAGCGUGGGGAGCGAACAGG
rnacentral:rRNA from 1 species